UACGGAGGGUGCAAGCGUUAUCCGGAUUCACUGGGUUUAAAGGGUGCGUAGGUGGGCAGGUAAGUCAGCGGUGAAAUCCCCGAGCUUAAUUUGGGAACUGCCAUUGAUACUAUCUGUCUUGAAUACCUUGGAGGUGAGCGGAAUAUGUCAUGUAGCGGUGAAAUGCUUAGAUAUGACAUAGAACACCAAUUGCGAAGGCAGCUCACUACACGGUCAUUGACACUGAGGCACGAAAGCGUGGGGAUCAAACAGG
rnacentral:rRNA from 1 species